rnacentral:rRNA from 1 species
GAGAUGAGUUCUCCCUGAGACCUUGAGUCUCCUGAAGGAACGUUGAAGACGACGACGUUGAUAGGUCGGGUGUGUAAGCGCAGCGAUGCGUUGAGCUAACCGAUACUAAUGAACCGUGAGGCUUAACCUU